GUACUCCCCAGGUAGGGAAAUACCAUAAUCUCGAAGGUGGUUUUCCCAGGAAAAGACUUAUCCACUGCAAUCCAGAUGUCCUGACCCCAGUGAUUUCCCCAAAUGUGGGACACUUGGCGGCACAAUUUAUGGUAGCAAGAGACUGCAUUUAUGUUCUCCAUUG